UACGUAGGUGGCAAGCGUUGUCCGGAUUUAUUGGGCGUAAAGCGAGCGCAGGCGGUUUCUUAAGUCUGAUGUGAAAGCCCCCGGCUCAACCGGGGAGGGUCAUUGGAAACUGGGAGACUUGAGUGCAGAAGAGGAGAGUGGAAUUCCAUGUGUAGCGGUGAAAUGCGUAGAUAUAUGGAGGAACACCAGUGGCGAAGGCGGCUCUCUGGUCUGUAACUGACGCUGAGGCUCGAAAGCGUGGGGAGCGAACAGGAUUAGAAACCCUGUAGUCC
rnacentral:rRNA from 1 species